UACGGAGGGCGCAAGCGUUGUUCGGAAUUACUGGGCGUAAAGCGCACGUAGGCGGAUUAGUAAGUCAGGGGUGAAAUCCCGGGGCUCAACCUCGGAACUGCCUUUGAUACUGCUGAUCUCGAGUCCGGAAGAGGUGAGUGGAAUUCCUAGUGUAGAGGUGAAAUUCGUAGAUAUUAGGAAGAACACCAGUGGCGAAGGCGGCUCACUGGUCCGGUACUGACGCUGAGGUGCGAAAGCGUGGGGAGCAAACAGG
rnacentral:rRNA from 1 species